GACGGAAGCAACGCCGCGUGAGCGAUGAAGGCCUUCGGGUCGUAAAGCUUCUGUUGUUAGGGAAGAACAAGUACCAGAGUAACUGCUGGUACCUUGACGGUACCUAACCAGAAAGCCACGGCUAACUACGUGCCAGCAGCCGCGGUAAUACGUAGGUGGCAAGCGUUGUCCGGAAUUAUUGGGCGUAAAGCGCGCGCAGGCGGUCCUUUAAGUCUGAUGUGAAAGCCCACGGCUCAACCGUGGAGGGUCAUUGGAAACUGGGGGACUUGAGUACAGAAGAGGAAAGUGGAAUUCCACGUGUAGCGGUGAAAUGCGUAGAGAUGUGGAGGAACACCAGUGGCGAAGGCGACUUUCUGGUCUGUAACUGACGCUGAGGCGCGAAAGCGUGGGGAGCAAACAGGAUUAGAUACCCUGGUAGUCCACGCCGUAAACGAUGAGUGCUAAGUGUUAGAGGGUUUCCGCCCUUUAGUGCUGAAGUUAACGCAUUAAGCACUCCGCCUGGGGAGUACGGUCGCAAGACUGAAACUCAAGGGA
rnacentral:rRNA from 1 species